UGGGAUGUUUUUGGGUGAUUUCGGGAUGUUUAAGGGGUGUUUUUGGGGUGUUUUUGGGUGUUUUCCCCCUUACAUCCGAGGCCAGGCGCUCGUAGGGGUUCUAUGGAGGGAUUUUGGGGUGUUUUUGGGGUGUUUUUGGGGUGUUUUUGGGUGUUUUCCCCCUUACAUCCGAGGCCAGGCGCUCGUAGUGGUUCCGUGGAGGGAUUUUGGGGUAUGUUUGGGGUGUUUUUGGGGUAUUUUUGGGGUACUUUUGGGGUGUUUUUG
rnacentral:lncRNA from 12 species